rnacentral:rRNA from 1 species
GACGAACGCUGGCGGCGUGCUUAACACAUGCAAGUCGAACGGAAAGGCCCUGCUUUUGUGGGGUGCUCGAGUGGCGAACGGGUGAGUAACACGUGAGUAACCUGCCCUUGACUUUGGGAUAACUUCAGGAAACUGGGGCUAAUACCGGAUCGGAGCUCCUGCUGCAUGGUGGGGGUUGGAAAGUUUCGGCGGUUGUGGAUGGACUCGCGGCUUAUCAGCUUGUUGGUGGGGUAGUGGCUUACCAAGGCUUUGACGGGUAGCCGGCCUGAGAGGGUGACCGGCCACAUUGGGACUGAGAUACGGCCCAGACUCCUACGGGAGGCAGCAGUGGGGAAUAUUGCACAAUGGGCGGAAGCCUGAUGCAGCAACGCCGCGUGCGUGAUGACGGCCUUCGGGUUGUAAACCGCUUUCGCCUGUGACGAAGCGUGAGUGACGGUAAUGGGUAAAGAAGCACCGGCUAACUACGUG